UUUUAGGUUUCCGUGUUUAACAUUUGACUGUUCAUCUUAUUUGAAAAAAUAUGAAAAAAUUUAAAAAGAUAAAUCAUACAUAAAGUAUUAUUCAUGUUUUAUCAUCUAACAAUAAUGCAAAUAUUAAUCAUAAAAAAAUUUCAUAUAAGAUGGACGGUCAAACGUUGGACACGGAAACCCAG
rnacentral:pre_miRNA from 1 species